GACGAACGCUGGCGGCGUGCUUAACACAUGCAAGUCGAACGGAAAGGCCCUGCUUUUGUGGGGUGCUCGAGUGGCGAACGGGUGAGUAACACGUGAGUAACCUGCCCUUGACUUUGGGAUAACUUCAGGAAACUGGGGCUAAUACCGGAUAGGAGCUCCUGCUGCAUGGUGGGGGUUGGACAGUUUCGGCGGUUGGGGAUGGACUCGCGGCUUAUCAGCUUGUUGGUGGGGUAGUGGCUUACCAAGGCUUUGACGGGUAGCCGGCCUGGGAGGGUGACCGGCCACAUUGGGACUGAGAUACGGCCCAGACUCCUACGGGAGGCAGCAGGGGGGAAUAUUGCACAAUGGGCGGAAGCCUGAUGCAGCAACGCCGCGUGCGGGAUGACGGCCUUCGGGUUGUAAACCGCUUUCGCCUGUGACGAAGCGUGAGUGACGGUAAUGGGUAAAGAAGCACCGGCUAACUACGUG
rnacentral:rRNA from 1 species